AUGGUAGAGAAGUAAUAUAUAAAAAAUAAAGAGUCGAGCUAUUGUGAUUUUAAAAACACCAAGUAUUUAAUAUUUAUAAAUUUUUUUCUGUUAGAUCUAUCCAUUUGACCAAUUUUAUUUCUUAAAUUAUGUUAUUAUCAUAAUCUUUUUAUGGGUGCAAUGCAUAAAAUAUACAAAUUAAUAGUCGUACUCUAGGUUAGAAAUUUUAAUGGGUACGAAUACCCGAUCAAAAGUUUAUCCGAAUCUGAACUCGAACUCAAAUCCACUGGACUUAUCUAAUGCUAAAUGGAUAUAAUUUCGGAUAUGAGUAUAAAAAAUAAAAAAUCCGACGAAUUUAGAUUCGAGUAUGAAUUUUGUCUGUACCAGACGAAACCCGAAUUUGAACCUGAAGACAACCCCAAUAUAUUUUAAAUUAAUAUAAGAUAUAUGAAUAUUUAAUAUUAUAUUUAAGUUUAUAUUUUAUAUUUAAAAAUAUCGUAAAGAGAAAUAAAUAUCUCAUAUUUGGGUUCUGGUUUUGGAAUUUUGAUUUCUGAUCGGAUUCGGUUUUGAAUAUGAAUCAUAAGAAUUCAUCAGAUUUGAAUUUCAGACUUUGAAUUUGGAUGGUCUUGUUUUGACACGAAUAUUUGAAAAGACGCUCCGAAUCUGACCCAUUACCAUCUUGCGCUGGGUGUAGGCAAUAAUUUCUCCUCAUUUUGGCUGGUUAUGGUUCCAAUGAAUAAUCAUCUUAGCACUAUGUAAAUUAAUUAGUAGUGGGGGCCAUUGUUCAUAAUGCCUCAUCAAUUUAGAUUGAUUUUUUACAGCUAACUAAAACAUAGAUAUGUGUUAUCAUAUUUAUUAUAGACUUAAUAGAGAGGUGAAUUAAUAUGUAUAUAUAUAGGGAGUCCCGCUAGGGCGCACAAGGACUGCUGUACUUCUAAUAGCACAGUAGUCCUAGCAUCCCUUUCUCCCUAUUGAAUUAGGCUAUAAUCUUUCUAAUAACACCAAAUCAUUAGUACUAUAAGAUUUUCGGUCCUUAAAUGAAAAAAUGUGCGGUUAAAAUGAUAAUGAUCCUUUUAGGGUUGUGUAGGUGAUUUGUUGAAUAGUAUGAUUUAACGGAUAUAAAUGAUCAAAAAAUAAAUAAAUUUAAUGGUGAAAAAUUUGAUAGUACAAAAUGCUUUAUGCUAUUAGAAACACCUCAGCCGGACUCUCUAUGUAUAGGGCUUGUGCUAUUAAGAAUACACUAGUACUUGUACUCCUAAGUUUCUAACCAUCUAUAAUUUUGAUCGGUGGUUAGAGUGAGUGAAAGACAAAAAAUUAGAAAAAAAUUUAAAAAGAAGAGAAAUUGAGACAUUUAAUUUUUCUCUAAUUUUUUUUUAAAUUUUAAUCAUCUAUCAAAAUUGAUGAAUAAUUUAAAAUUUAGAAACACAUAGCUUGCUAUGUCGUUAAUUAUACAGUGCUUUUGCUCUAUAUAUGUAUAUAGAGUUGAGCUAGAAUACUAUCGGUAGUAAAUGAGCCGUUUUACUACCAAUUUGUUUCGCUGAUAGAACUUCCAAAUUGACGAUCGGCUCCGUUAAAUAUGAUCUAAACCAUUUAAACUACCUAGAAAUCAAAUUUCACGCACUUUCAAUAUUGUUCUUUUAUCCAUCAAGUGAACAGAAAAAUGAAUGGCUGAAAAUGAAUACUCUUUAAAAAAUAAUGAUAGGAGUCUUGUAAUCAAGAUCAAGAGUAUGGAUCUUAUUUUAAAUAGUUUAAAGAAUUUUCUAAUAAAAAUUCAAUUGAUUUGAAUAUCUUUACGCCGUUAAACGAGAAAACGCCUCUUAUCGAUCAUUAAAAUUACAAAUUUUGAAAUCCUUUGAUCAUUAGGCAAAUGAUGUCGAAAAGAUUCACUACAACAGAAUUGGGUUAUAGGGAGACAUGUUUGGGACACUUUUAUGUAAGUGUCUCAUUUAUACCAAAGCUUAAAAAAAAUCUACUAAUGCCUAAAUAUAAAAUUCAAUCCAAUCAAAAAUAAAAGAUUACUCUACUUAACUACCCCACCCAGCCCAUUCUGCCCGAUUACAAAUAGAAAAGAAAAAAAAAAAGAAAAAUCGAUUACCAUCUCCCCUUCUCCCUCACUCAAUCCACUUAAAUUCUAGACGAAGAGCCCUUCACUCUCCUCUUCCUCUACCACCACAGCCAACGAGGUAGAAUUCCGGUGGUUGCUAAAUACUUAAAUAAGUGUUGGUAAAUUAGCAGCACUCUUUUUAGGUUAUAGCGACACUCUUUAACUGUCACUAUAUAUCUAGUGACCCCACAUAUAGCAACAUUUUUUAAAAGUGUCGGUAAUUUAGUCAGCAUUAUUUUUUUUGACCUGUACCGAUAUUUGAAAGUGUCGCUAUAGACUGUUUUUGUUGUAGUGAUUUGAAAUUUGAUUUCUAAACAUUUCAAGUGGUAUAGAUCAUGUUCAACAGAGCCAAUCGUCAAUUUGAAAAUUCUAUCAUUGAAAAUAAAUCAAUAGUAAAACGGCUCGUUUACUAGCGAUAGUAUUCCAGCUCAACUAUAUAUAUAUAUUUUAUAUAUAUGACUUUUUGAAU
rnacentral:lncRNA from 1 species